UGGCUCAGAUUGAACGCUGGCGGCAGGCCUAACACAUGCAAGUCGAACGGUAACAUUUCUAGCUUGCUAGAAGAUGACGAGUGGCGGACGGGUGAGUAAUGCUUGGGAACUUGCCUUUGCGAGGGGGAUAACAGUUGGAAACGACUGCUAAUACCGCAUAAUGUCUUCGGACCAAACGGGGCUUCGGCUCCGGCGCAAAGAGAGGCCCAAGUGAGAUUAGCUAGUUGGUAAGGUAACGGCUUACCAAGGCGACGAUCUCUAGCUGUUCUGAGAGGAAGAUCAGCCACACUGGGACUGAGACACGGCCCAGACUCCUACGGGAGGCAGCAGUGGGGAAUAUUGCACAAUGGGGGAAACCCUGAUGCAGCCAUGCCGCGUGUGUGAAGAAGGCCUUCGGGUUGUAAAGCACUUUCAGUUGUGAGGAAAAGUUAGUAGUUAAUACCUGCUAGCCGUGACGUUAACAACAGAAGAAGCACCGGCUAACUCCGUGCCAGCAGCCGCGGUAAUACGGAGGGUGCGAGCGUUAAUCGGAAUUACUGGGCGUAAAGCGCACGCAGGCGGUUUGUUAAGCUAGAUGUGAAAGCCCCGGGCUCAACCUGGGAUGGUCAUUUAGAACUGGCAGACUAGAGUCUUGGAGAGGGGAGUGGAAUUCCAGGUGUAGCGGUGAAAUGCGUAGAUAUCUGGAGGAACAUCAGUGGCGAAAGCGACUCCCUGGCCAAAGACUGACGCUCAUGUGCGAAAGUGUGGGUAGCGAACAGGAUUAGAUACCCUGGUAGUCCACA
rnacentral:rRNA from 1 species